UAACCUGCCCAAGAGAUCGGGAUAACACCUGGAAACAGAUGCUAAUACCGGAUAACAACAGAUGAUGCCUAUCAACUGUUUAAAAGAUGGUUCUGCUAUCACUCUUGGAUGGACCUGCGGUGCAUUAGCUAGUUGGUAGGGUAACGGCCUACCAAGGCGAUGAUGCAUAGCCGAGUUGAGAGACUGAUCGGCCACAUUGGGACUUAGACACGGCCCAAACUCCUACGGGAGGCAGCAGCU
rnacentral:rRNA from 1 species